GAUGAACGCUGGCGGCGUGCCUAAUACAUGCAAGUCGAGCGAACGGACGAGAAGCUUGCUUCUCUGAUGUUAGCGGCGGACGGGUGAGUAACACGUGGAUCACCUACCUAUAAGACUGGUAUAACUUCGGGACACCGGAGCUAAUACCGGAUAAUAUUUUGCACCGCAUGGUUCAAAAGUGAAAGACGGUCUUGCUGUCACUUCUAGAUGGAUCCGCGCUGCAUGAGCUAGUUGUUAAGGUAACGGCUUUCCAAGGCAACUAUGCAUAGCCGAACGGAGAGGGUGAUAGGCGACCCGGGAACUGAGACACGGUCCAGGGUCCUGCGGGAGGCAGCAGUAGGGAAUCUUCCGCAAUGGGCGAGAGCCUGACGGAGCAACGCCGCGUGAGUGAUGAAGGUCUUCGGAUCGUAAAACUCUGUUAUGAGGGAAGAACAGAUGUGGAAGUAACUGUGCAGAGCGUGACGGUACCUAAUCAGAAAGCCACGGCUAACUACGUG
rnacentral:rRNA from 1 species